UCCCUGGUGGCUCAGAUGGUAAAGCAUCUGCCUAUAAUGUGGGAGACCCGGGUUCGAUCCCUGGGUUGGGAA
rnacentral:tRNA from 1 species